rnacentral:snRNA from 1 species
UAAACAAGGGAAAGUGCCUCAU